UCUCCUGCUCCCCGCGACCGCGCCCGCCGCCCUCUCCCUCCCUCUCUGCUCUCUCCCUCCCCGCCGCCGCCUCCCCUCCCCCACUCCCUCUCCGCCUGCCUUCGCCGCCCUUCCCGCCGGCGCUCCUGCUCGCCGCAGCAGCAGCCCGCUCUCGCAGGAUCCGGAUCGGACCCGGAUCCGGCGCGGUGUGGGGCUCGGAGGGAGGAGGGCGACGCUUGGCACCCCCUCCUCUACCGUGCCCCUCCGCCGCGAGCUGCGGUCCCUCGUACUCGGCACCCCCUCCUCCGGCACGGCACAGGGCCUCCUCCACGGCACCGCCGGGGCCCGAGUGCUGUUGGGGCCCGCCGAGCAGGCCCGCGGAGCCAACGCCGGUCUCGACAUCUCCGUCAGGCUGAUCCGGAGGAGCGUCCACGCUGACACUCCUCGACACCCCUCCUCCACCGCGGCACAAGGCCCGCGCGCCCGGCACCCCCUCCUCCGCUGGCUGCGUUCGCCGCAUCCCCCGUCGAGGCCGCAGCCGGGCGCGGGGCUCCUGUUGUCGCAGAGGCUUUCCCCAGCCUGCAGUUCAGUCUGCAGGGCUCUUUUGUUUCCUCACUGCAGACUGUUGGUCAGUGAGUACACUAUAUAUUUCUAUCUUAUAUGUCUACAAGAAAUUUCUGUAGAUAGCAUUUUGUUAGUUUUUCGUGGACAUUGAAUUUGUUCCUGCUAGAAUAGUGUCUGAAACUCAACAAUUAGUGAGGUGCAGCUUACCAUGCUUGAGCUUCUAAACCAACUCGAUGGUUUUUAAGUGUAACAACUAAAAAAUGGAUUUCUAGAUCCUAAUGAGGAUGCAUGUUCUACUGCCUUGUCCAGUAUUGUUUGAUGAUUUGCCUCUUGUAUGGAUGGGUUCUUAAUGUUUUGCUGUUGCAGCCAUGUUUUGCUAUCUUAAAGAAAUAUUCAAGAAAAAUGAACUUGAUGUGAAAAGAUUACUGAAAAGAUGAAUGGAAGCAACCUCCUUCAGAACCUCUCAGGGUUUGGGACUUGAUGGCUGCUAUUGCAUUGUUUCUAUAAAACAUAGACCCAUCCAAUCUUCAUUUUAUGUACUAUUGUUUUGUUCUAAUGGUUCAGUUUAUGUUAGUUUACUGAAAUUCAGGUUAUAUAUGACUGAAAUUGAAGCACAAUACAACUUUUUUGAUAUGUGUAUUUUGUAGAUAAUCUAUCAUCUAUCACUUUCUGUUAACUGUAAAUUGGCCCUUUGCCAUUGAAAAUUUGUUUGGACUCUAUGUAACCAUAGACAAGGAGGUCCUGGGUUUGCUAGCUAGGAUAAUCCAAUAUGUGUUCUUGAACAUUUGCUGAUGGAUUGAAUUUUUCUCUUUUCUCGUAACAUAUGUAUGAAUUUCAUUGCUUCUAAAAACAAAAUUACAAGCUCCAGCUAUCUAAUGGUGAAUAUGAUUAAUUGGCUAAUAUAUUUUGAUGUGAAAUUUAUUGAUCCAGUUCUAGCUUUGUAAUUAUCAGGGGGCACUUCUUAUGGAGCAUUGCAGUAACUUGUUUUCCUCUUCCCAUCAGUGGUAUUUUCACUACAAAAAGAAUGCAAUGAACAAGCUGUAUAUAAAUUAAGUCAAUUAGGCAAAGUACAAAACCCUAAGCCAGUCUUCCUCUUCCCAUCAGUGGUAUUUUCACUAAAAAGGAAUGCAACAAACAAGCUGUACGAAAAUUCAAUUAAGUCAAUUAGGCAAAGUACAAAAAACCAACCCAAAGACGCUGCCUUGAAGGUAAUACACUUAAUGCUUGUUUAAGCUCGCAUUUGCUGGUGCAACCAUAAAGCUGGCCUCUGAAGCCUUUAAGUCAUUGUCACUGCAGAUUGUAAAUCAAGCCUAUAUAUCUGCUUGACAAUUGUGGUCACACAAUUUUGACCCACUAGCCUCAAUUAAUUUUCUAUUUGUAUGUUCAUGGAUGGAACACUAUGUAAAAAAUGACCUAUAGUGACAUGCACAAAAAUGACAUGUUGUUGUUGUACGUCACCUUUGUUAUCUGGGUGACGCGCAAAGAUGAUGCACGUCACCAUUUACCUCUUGGUGGCCUCUCUAAAAUGUUGCCCGUCACCUAUAAGUUUGAUAUAGGUGACGGACAACAUUAAAGCACGUCACCUAUAAGGUUAGUAUAGGUGACGGACUUUGAUAAGUAAAAGGUGACGGGCUACAUCAAAGCACGUCACCUUUGUGAUUUUUAUUAAUAUUUGAACAUGCGAUUUUUGAAAAAUUCAAAUUGUCUCCAAUAAAAAAUUGGUCUAUACAAAAGUUAUAGGCCUCAACCAGAUCUACAACUUUGUAGUUCAAAAAAUUUUCAGUUGAGGUUGUUUUGGCACCCAAAUAUAUAGUUUAAAAUUUGAAUUUCAAUUUUUUAAAAUUUUCAAAUGACCUCAGAUGGAAAAAACAGUAUAUACGAAAGUUAUAGCUCACCAUCAGAUCUACAACUUUGUAGUCGAAAAGUUUUUCAUUUUAGAUCAUUAUAGUUGUGAAAUAGAUUAUAUAAGACAUUAGAAAGUGAUGAUAAAAAGAAAAUAUCUCAUUGUUGGUCACAUGUGAUGGUGUAGACUAGUGGUAGGGAAGGGUACGCGCGAGAUUUAGGUUGUGGUUUCGAAUCCUGGUAACGCCAGAAAAAAUCGCACGCCCGCAUAUUUGCGCAAAAAAUCGCGCGACUUUCGACACGAGCGCGGUGGGAAAAGAAAAUAUUUUUUUGAUUUUUAUUCAUGCUGCAGAUAUUUAUUUUAGCACGCAAAAGAAUGACACAUAGGUGACGGCAGGAAUACCAUAGGUGACGGCUCGUACUGAUGCCCGUCACCUUUUACGUACAUAGGUGACGGGCUUUUGCCCGUCACUUUUCUAUUCUAAUUAGUGACGAUGUACAGAUGACGGGAGAUGACACCAGUCAUCUUAGGGAGAUGACGCCCGUUACAUUGGCCUCUUCUUCCAUAGUGGAACUGGGACUUGUGAAUCGUCUGUCCCAGGAAAACCUCAUGGCUCAUUUGUCAACAUUUCUUCCUGCACGGAUGCUUUUGAAAACCACAGACCAUAUGUCCGCAAGGCCUUAUGAACAAUUAAGGGGUCAAUUAUUUAGGUCAUAAAGGGCCAUGAUAUGUAGAAGUUGGACUCAGCCUGACCUUAUAAAUUUGUCAACUGAAAUUUAUUCGUUCAUUGCUUGGACGCUGCUGCAGCAUGUUCCAGCCGACACUGGUGCUUGGGCAGGCAGGAGAGCCCAGCUCGGACACAGCACGGGCGGCAGCUAUGCAGGGAAGGCAACGGGGGCGCAUCGCGGUGGGUUGGUCCCAGCUGGCCAGAGCGUGGCGUGGCAACAUGCUUCUGGUUGUGCUCGAGCUGCAGCCAAGGUUAACCUAACCGGUGGGAACCGGUCCGGUUUGACCGGUUACCGGUCAAACCGGUCCGGUCCGGUUCCGGCCGGUACCCAACCGGCCAAAAUUCAAAUUUUAAAUUUGAAUUCAAAAAAUGAAAAAUUCUUAAAAAAAUCCUAAAAAUACUUCAAGGUGUGAUAAAUCUAAUGGUGUCAAAUUUUCUAAAAAAUUCAUUCAUUUAGUAUAGUUUGUGGAAAUUUAAAGUUAAAUCAAAAAAGAAAAAGAAAAAAAAUGGGCCGGCCCAUGAAGGCCCACCGGUCAAACCGGCCGGUAAACCGGUCAAACCGGUCGGUAAACCGGUAAAACCGGCCGGUAAACCGGUUGCACGGGAGCUUUUGAAUUUCAAACCGGUCAAACCGACCGGUAAACCGGUAAAACCGGCCGGUAAACCGGUCAAACCGGCCGGUAAACCGGUCGGAACCGAUUGCACGGGAAAAUUUGAAUUUAUUUGAAUUCAACCGGUUUCCACCGGUUACCGGCCUAACCGGUCCGGUAAACCGGUAUCGGAGGGCGGCGGUAACCGGUUUCCGGUUGGGAAAUAAAACCCUGGCUGCAGCACGACCUCAAGCUCAAGUACAGCGACGAGGGCCGGCCAACACUCCGGAUUUGAGACAUCAUAUUAACUAUAUAUUUAUUGCCAUAUGCUGUGAUUUUAUGUUGAAUUUAUUCUAUACUAUAUAUGUCAUUUAUUUUAUUUCAUUAUUUUCGGUUUGUUUAUAUUUAACUAUACAUUUAAUUUA